CGGGACGGGUGAGUAACGCGUGGGUAACCGUGCCUCAUACAGGGGGAUAACGAUUGGAAACGAUUGCUAAUACCGCAUAAGCGCACAGUACCACAUGGUACAGUGUGAAAAACUCCGGUGGUAUGAGAUGGACCCGCGUCUGAUUAGCUAGUUGGUGGGGUAGCGGCCCACCAAGGCAACGAUCAGUAGCCGACCUGAGAGGGUGACCGGCCACAUUGGGACUGAGACACGGCCCAG
rnacentral:rRNA from 1 species